GCGACCGGCGCACGGGUGCGUAACACGUAUGCAAUCUACCUCUAACUGGGGAAUAGCCUUCCGAAAGGAAGAUUAAUACCGCAUAAUAUCACGAGACGGCAUCGCCUUGUGAUCAAAGCUUCGGCGGUUAGAGAUGAGCAUGCGUCCGAUUAGCUAGUUGGCGGGGUAACGGCCCACCAAGGCGACGAUCGGUAGGGGGUCUGAGAGGAUGAUCCCCCACACUGGUACUGAGACACGGACCAGACUCCUACGGGAGGCAGCAGUAAGGAAUAUUGGACAAUGGCCGAAAGGCUGAUCCAGCCAUGCCGCGUGCAGGAUGAAGGUGCUCUGCAUUGUAAACUGCUUUUAUUCGGGAAUAAACCCCUCUACGUGUAGAGGGCUGAAUGUACCGAAAGAAUAAGGGACGGCUAACUUCGUGCCAGCAGCCGCGGUAAUACGAAGGUCCCAAGCGUUAUCCGGAUUUAUUGGGUUUAAAGGGUGCGUAGGCGGGUUGUUAAGUCAGUGGUGAAAGCCGACAGCUUAACUGUCGAAUUGCCAUUGAUACUGACGAUCUUGAAUGUGGUUGAGGUGGGCGGAAUGUAUCAUGUAGCGGUGAAAUGCUUAGAUAUGAUACAGAACACCGAUUGCGAAGGCAGCUCACUAAGCCACUAUUGACGCUGAGGCACGAAAGCGUGGGGAGCAAACAGGAUUAGAUACCCUGGUAGUCCACGCCCUAAACUAUGAUCACUCGAUGUUGGCGAUAUACUGUCAGCGUCUAAGCGAAAGCAUUAAGUGAUCCACCUGGGGAGUACGACCGCAAGGUUGAAACUCAAAGGAAUUGACGG
rnacentral:rRNA from 1 species